GUCCCAGGAUCCCCAGAGGGAGGGGCUCCACACAUUUUGGGGAGUGGGACCUUACCUCCUUGUCCUUGGGAUGGGGACAGGGGGCUGCUGUUGUGUAGGGACCAGGCCGAUGGGCUUUAUCUCUACUUCUCAAAGAUGGGGCUGCUGGCUCACCAGUGGGUCUCCCUCACUGCCGUCUCCCUUUCUUAAGGACAGCAAAGGAGGGUAAAGUUCCUGUGUUUGGGUUAAUCACUCCCCUCCCCACAUGUGUUUCCUUCUCAUACUGUGAUUUUUGCCCUCCUACCCACGCAAACCUGGUGUAGGUGAAAAGCUCGCUGGGAAGCAUGGCUUGGGUUAAGUUCUUGCCUUUCUUAAUUUUAGGGACAGCUGUGACGAAGGAGGGGAACAGGGUGUUCUCUCCUGUAGCCCUUUUUCUUCCCUCCCACUCUCAAUCUCCAGGGACCUUUUGGCUUGCUUCCUUGGCCAGAAGCCCAUAGUCCUAAAGAGUAGGGCAAGGAAGGCUUGGGGCCUCUCUGCCCAUGCCAUCUCCAGCUCCCUGUGAUCAGGUUAGGUGAGCUGCUCCUCCCUACUACUCAUGGGAAGAUGCCCAGGGCCUUCCAUAGCCUUCCCUUCUGGCCCAAAGCCAAACAGACUUGGUGCUGUGCAAAGCCAGCAGGAACUUGUGUGUCUCCAGGACCUAGUAUGUGGGGAGGAAGGAGUGUGUUUGUCUGUAGGUGUCUGUGAAAGGCGAGUGUGUGAAUGUGAGAAAGGGAGGCAAAGGGGUGUGUCUGCAGGUAUCUCUAGGGUUAUGUGCAGGUGGGUACCUGUGAGGGUACCUGGAGCCGCCAUCUGAUACUUUCCUCAAAACCAACAGUGAGGAGGUUUCCUCAAAACCCACAGUGAGAGGGGAGGGCCCUGGGAAGCAAAGUUCCUUUUGUGUUCUUUGGGUUGAAAACUCCUACUUUCCUCUUGGGUGCCUCACUCUGUGGGCUCUCCCCUCAGGCCUCUCCGUUGCUUGCAUAAAGCCCCCUUGGAGCAGAGGGAGAGGGUCCCAGGGCUACAUAACUGGAAGUACAGACUCCGAGAUGAGGAAGAAAAAGAUGGUGCUAUACCCAAGUUCUUUCUCUCUGCUUGUUAGCAGCUGUGACAGCCCUUUCUUGGUUUUAUUCAUCUCUGGGUUUUCCUGUCACCCUUCUGCCCCCUACUCCACUAUCAUAACCCUGAGGCCAACCAAGUUCUACAGUUAACAUCUUGUCCCUUUGCCUACUUGUACCCAGCAGGGCCUUUGAUGAGGGAGGAGACCUGAAGGUACUGGGGGGCUUAUCCAACAAAGUCAUCACAGGUAUUUUUAUCAACGGUGUGUUAGUUGAUGUGGAAAUAUUCUCCCCAAAUCCGAGCAUUUAGGAAAUGACUGCUGGGGGAGGAGCCCCUGCCUGACCAAUCCCCUUUCCCUUUUUGGAUGGGGGUGAGGGCAGGAGGCGUAUCUUAUAUUGGGCAAUUUGGGGGGUGAGGGAAGCAGGAGGAAGCAAUCUUGGGAGCCUUGGGGGAGGUUGGUCCAUUCCAUUUCUUCUUGAUCUCAAAGCACAAUGUGGAUUCUGGGACCAAAGGACAGGCACACAUCUGUUAGGAGGACCUGGGGUUGGGAGGGUGAGUGGAUGGGAGGAGCUCCACCUCCCCUCACAGAGAGGGCUUGGAGGACAAGAAGCAACCUGUUUUCCUUCAGUUUAAUUUUCCUUCCAAAACAAGGCAAGACAGCCGUUGGAAUCUUGGUGCCUGCCCUUAUACUCCUCCUGUCCUAAAAAUAGAGGUAACGUUUUCUUACACACCCCCAGAGAGAGGAAGAACUGACGCACUGGUGCUGAGGGACCCAGGGGCUGCUGGGAGUCCUUAUUGCUUGCCAGAACCUUCCAUGCCUAGAAGAGCACAGAACCCUGAGGGCUGGGCCGAGUCCCUGGUCUUUUCUUACAGCUCACAGAGGUCUCUUAGCCAAAAUCUAAUCCCAGAAAAGAUGCAUCAAAGCUAGAAUGUGAAUAUAACUUUAGUGGACCAAUAAUAAAAUACAAGAAGCCCAAUGGUGAGAAAAGUGAGUUCUCCUAGCACUGCUUCCUGUUUUCUCCCUCAUGUCCCUCCAGGGAAUACGGUUGCUUAAUUUCUGCCUUUUUCCCCUCACAUAUGCACUUUUGGGCCUUUUUUUUUUAUAGCUGGGAAAAAAAAAUGCCACCCCACAAACCUGUAUUUAAAAAGAAACAAACGACCAUGCAAAAUUUGCCUCUGUCUAAACAUUUCAUCUGUGUGUGUGAUGCCGUCCAUUCAUCUUUUUAUAUGGGAUUGUUGUCUUUUUUGGUCUGUUUUGGUCCCCUCCCUUGUGGGCUUGUGCUUGGGAUCAAAUCUCUCUGGCCUGUUAUUCUGAACAUUUGACUUGAACCACAAGUGAAUCUUUCUCCUGGUGACUCAAAUAAAAGUAUAAUUUUUACCUGCUGACUUGGUUUCCUCUCUGGCUCUGAGGUUCUGGUGUGUGUGCGCCUACCCUGUCUGCUUGGGACGCCCUCCAGCGAGAAGAACAAGCCCAUUGGAAGACUUCAGCCUGGGAGGGAGGGAGAAAAGAGCAGCUUGCCUGCCUUCCCUACUGAGGCCUUGGUACCUACUUCCUCCUUUGUGAACCCUCUUCCCAGCAGCCUGCUCCUGGCUACGGCCCAUUCAUCCCUCUCUGCCCAGCUUGUGGAUGCUGCCAGAAGCUUCCCUUAGCUCCUGUAAUCUCAUUAGUGUUUUGACUUAGUUAUGUUUCUGUCUCCCCAAACGAUCAUGAGGGCAGGUUAUUGGUUGCCAUCAAGUUGAUACCAACCCAUGGCAACCCCAUGUGUGCAGAAUAGAACAACACUUCAUAGGAUUUUCAAGCCUGUGACCUUUCAGGAGCAGAUUGCUGAGGCUCUUCUGAGGUGCCUCUGGGUGGAUUCGAGCUGCCAGCCUUUUGGCUAGUAGUCGAGCACUUAAACUUUGUGCCACCCAAGGGACCAUGAGGGCAGGUAAUGGGUUUAAUUCCCCAGAACCUACCCAAGGACGAGCACAUACCUGCUCAAUAAAUAUUUAUUCAAUUAACUAAUGAGCUCAGCUUGGGAAUGGAACGGUUAUAGAACUCUCUACCACUGCCUGGUUAAUUAAAGAAAUGACAGACUGGGACAAUUUGCCAUGGGAUAAAACAUGGAUAAGGCCUGAGCCCGACUAGGGUGGUCUGGCAACCCAAAGGAGUAUCCACAGUGCCAUGUGAAUAUGAUCUUUAACUCACAUUCUUUCAUUUAAUCUUGUGAUUAAAUCAGCCCUGUGGGAGAAGUAACUACCGCGAUGUCCAUCUUACAGAUGAGGUUCACCAAAACUCAGAAAAGGGAAGUGGUUUGGUGGCAGUUGCAUAGAUAGGAGCAGAGCUGUGGGUCUUAGGAUCGCCGGGGCAGCACUCAUAGUCUUAUGCUACGCUCCCUGUGUGCUCAUGCCUUUUGCAGCUCUCCUAUCAGCACCAAUUGCCCCAGGUGCCCAGGGUCUGUGACCUCUGCCCAGAAGGCCAGGUACCUCCCCUCUUUCUGUGUGGGGUUGGAAGUACGGGUAGGGCAAGAAGUUCAGUCCCUUCCACCUUCAGCCCCUCCAGCCUUGUGCCACCAGUUAGCCUCACAUCCAGCUGCUUUGUGGAGAGGGGUAUUUCCCGUUUUCGGCUCAGAAUUAAGGCAUUCUCUCGCCUCAGGAUAGCAGCAGGGAGAAGAGAGGGGUUUUCCUUGAACUGAGCGUUUGUAAUCAGGAAAAUGAUAUGUACAGAGUCAGCAGAACUGAAGGAGUGUGGGAGUGUCUGUGUCAUUGGGUGGUAUAAUUAAAGACAAUACUGACACUGCUCCCCUCCAAAGGAGCUGGCUGCCUAAUAUUUUCCCAAUAAAGGGGAAUUAGUUGGCAAAUUGUGCCUUCUGUCACCUGCCCCCUUUUGUCUGGAGCUGUAGCCCACUCUCCCCAGGAGGCUUCAUUCAUUAUCAGAGAGAUUUGAAGCUUUGGAGAGCAUAGGUGCCAAGUCUUCACUCCCAGCUCACAGAAAGCUCUGUUCUCUGCCUCUUGGAGGUGGGCCAAUGGGAAGAGUCUCUAGACACCCUACUAGAAGUGGCCUAAGUUCCUCAGGCCUGGCAUGGGGGGGAGGGCGGUGCGUGGGUACUAAUACCGUUACCCUCAGGACCUCCAAAAAAAACUACUUGGAUUGGAGCCAAAGAGAAGGCCUCAGAUAUGUCACUGGGAAUUUUUUUUAACUUGAAAUAAGAACAAGAAACAACACAAGAUAUAACUGAAUACUCACCAUCCAGCUUAAAAAAGACUCAGUCCUUCUCCCUUAGAGGAAACCACUAUCUUGAAUUUUCACGUCUAGAUAACUCUUACUUACACAGGUAUGGGGCUAAAGGAAUUCUUCAGUGUCCUCUAUAUGUAUACACUGCUGAGCUCUCCAGAGAGGAAACAAAACAAGCCUAUGGGCUAUGGCUACAAAGAGAUGAAGGAACAGAUGGAAAGACUGCCAAACUCGUACUGUAAAUGGAUGUGAGCAAAAUGCCUGGCAAACUGAGCAGCACAGGUAGGGUUGACGGGCCUUUCAGACCAGUGUGGGCAAUAGAAAGAGUAUGGACUGUGGAGUCAGCCAAGCCUAGGUUUGAAUCUUGGUUGCUGCCAUUUCAAAGCUGUGGAACAUAAGGCAAGUUACUGAUGGAUCUCUGAGCCUUUCGAUAGAAGAGUUGUAGGGAGGUUGAAAUUAUACCAUGUGUGUGAUAUCUGGUGCAGAUAUCCCAUAAAUGUUAGCUUCAUCACCAGGGAUGCCAGCUGACACUCACGUGGUGAGACCUUUAUUCCCCACCCCCACCCCGCUAAAGUGACCUUUACUGUUGUUGUUAGUUGCUGUCAAGUGAGCUCUGACUCAUGACUUCACGUACAGCAGAAUGAAACAUUGCCCGAUCCUGGGCUGUCUUCACAGUCGUUCAUGUGCUUGAGCCCAUUGUUGUGGCCACUGUGUAUUUUGAGUGCCUUCCAACCUAAGGGGCUCAUCUUCUAGCACUGUAUUGGGGCAAUAUUCUGUUGUAUUCCACAGGAUAUUCAUUGGCUAAUUUUCAGAAGUAAAUCACCAGGCCUUUCUUUCUAGACCAUCUUAGUCUGGAAGCUCUGCUAAAACUUGUUUACCAUGAGUGACCCUGCUGGAAAUACUGGGGACAUAGUUUCCAGCAUGCAGCAUGCAAGCCACCAUAAACUAAAAAGACAAACUAACAGACGGGCGUUGGAAAGUGAACUUUAGACCUUGCAAAUGACCCAUUCAAUUCCCAACUAUUAUUAUUCUCUGGCCACAAUUUGCCAGCAAGGAAAAAGGACGCAGAGAGGCAGUCAAGAGAAUUCAUUCUGAAUGGCCAUCUAAGAUACAACUAUUGGUCUCUUCCCACCUGGAGGAAAGGAGAGUGAAGAAAACCAAAGACUCAAGGAAGCAAUUAGUCCAAAGGAGUAAUGACCACAUGAACCACAGCCUCCACUAGCCCAAGACCAGAACUAGAUGGUGUCUGGCUAACACUAUUGACAGCUCUGACUCGGGUCCCAGACAUAGCGGGAGAAAAAUGUAGAACAAAAAAUAAAAUUCACAAAAAAGACCCCACUUACUGGGCUGACAGAGACUGGAGGAACCCUCAAGGGUACGGCCUAAGACACCCUUCUGACCUGGAACUAAAUCCAUCCCGGAGACCGCCUUUCAGCCAAACGAUAGACAGGCCCAUAAAAUAAAUAAUAACACCCAAGAGAAACAUGUUCCUUAGAACAGUCAAUUAUAUGAGAUCAAAAGAACAGCGUUUGCCCAAAAGCAAAGAUGAGAAGGCAGGAAGGGGUACAAAAUCCGGGCAAAAGGAAAUGGGGAACCCAGGGUGGAAAUGGGGAGAGUGCAGACACAUUGAGGGGAAGGUAACCAAUGUCUUGGAACACUUUAAGUAUAAACUGCUGAAUGGGAAACUAAUUUGCUCUGUACACUUUCACAUAAGGCACAAUUUAAAAAAAAAAAAAAAAGCAUCUCAAGGUCUGGAUAGAGAUACACCCCCUCCUACAUCCAUAUCAUGCAGACUACAUUUAGAUACAGACUACAUUUGGUGGGUAGGGUUCCUGGGAAGAAUGUGAACCUCUUCAGUUCUGCCUGGUCUAAAUCUAGCAGUUCCCUGGUUACUCACCCCCGGGGCUUUGUGAUUGGCUGACUGUGAGGUAGAGAUGGAGGGGAGGGAAGGAAGCUGCUGAUGGAGCUGCUGCACCCUUAGUCUCAGGCCUCGGGAGGGGGAGGGGAAAGAACGAGGGGUGAGCAGUGAAGGCAGGAGGGAGCCAUUUCUCUUCGCCGACCGCAACCUCCCUGUCACAGCUCACGUUUCCCUGGAAUCCAGGGGCCUCAUCGGCCAAGGGCUCCAUAAUGCUGGAUAUUUUCAUCCUGAUGUUCUUUGCCAUCAUAGGCCUGGUCAUUCUGUCCUACAUUAUCUAUCUGCUCUAGUGGCCUGGAAUCUGCGGUUCGGAGCCCUCAAGAGAGCAGCUUGGAGGGGAAGGAUGAAGCUAAACGGCCCGAGCAUCCCGCCUGCGGACGCAACGGUGGAUUUGUGCUUCUGGUCAUUAUUCCGGCUCCUGGUCUCCAGUCCAACAGAGAGGCCUCUUAUCGACAGCAGCAGUUGGGCUGCCCAGCAGACCUCUCCCAGAGCCUUCUGGAUAUGAUUAACCCCUGGCAAGCAACGGGCUUUUUGAGCUCAGAGGCAGAGGCACACAGCUGGAACAUCAGGAAUUCAUGGACAAGGCUGGCAGAUGCUGCGUGCAUUUGAGCUGUAGAUAAAGAGCACAGAGAGUUGAAAUACAGAUUCAUUAAAGUUACCAUGGAGAACUGC